CAUCAACACAGCAUCAUGUAACAGCAAUGAAGGCACAGGGGAAGUAACCAAGGGGUACUGUUAGAUACCCAAAGAAGGAACCAUUAAGGAAACACUAAUAGACCAGCUGACAUUCUUCCUUUGUGUCCUACUCAAGAAAUAUCAGCUCUUAAAGAAACUGCUAAUAGUUAAGUCAUGGUUUUUAGUCUAAAAUCCUGACUCAGAAAUGUUACACAAUCUUCAUGGGAAUCUAGGAAAAUGUGAUGAUUUAUCUAAGAAACUAAGGUGGCACAAAGAAGAAACCCAGGAAAAAAUAUAGAAAAAAACUGAUUAUAAAAUGAAUCUAGAAAAACAAAGGACCUAGAAUGGCCAAAACAACUUUGAAAAAGAAGAAUGAAGUUGGAGGGCUUAAUACUCGGAUUUUAAGACUUAUUACAAAGCUUCUUUAUCACGACCGUGUGGUAUGAGCAACAAGAAAAGACAACCGGAUCAAUUGAAAAAAAGAGAGAAUCCAUUCAAUCGACUCUCAUUAUACAGGGUCUCACUUUGUCGCCCAGGCUGAAGAACAGUGGCUCAAUCACGGCAGACUGCAGCUUCAACUUCCCUGGUUCAGGGACGAAAGGUCUCCAUAUGUUGCCCAGGCUGGUCUUGAACUCUACAGGUGGUACAUUCAAUACCAAGCUGAGAACACCCUCUCAAACUGAGAUGAGAAACAGACUCAAAGAGGUUAGGAAAUUCAUCCAUGGUCACAGAGAUAGACAAGGAAAAAGGGAAAUAAGAAGGCCCAAGGAGAGGGAGGGAGAGAGAUGGAAGAACUGCCGGUUGGUGGAGCAGUCAGAACACGCAUAUUUCUCGAUCAAGUUUGCCGUCUUACAUGGUUUGUGGUGCCCCAAAACAAUUACAACAGUAACAUCAAAGAUCACUGAUCACAGAUCACUGUAACACCUAUAAUAAUGAAAGGUCUGAAAUACUGUGAGAAUUAUCAAAAUGUGACAGAGACAGGAAGUGAGCACAUGCUGUUGGAAAAUGGCAUUAACAGGCUUUCUCAACACAGAGUUACCACAAACCUUCAAUUUGUAAAAAAAACCGUAUCAGUGAAAGCACAAUAAAGAGAAGUGCAAUAAAAUGAGGUAUGCCCAUAUA